GGGGUCAUAGCUCAGAUGGGAGAGCGCUUGAAUGGCAUUCAAGAGGUCGGGAGUUCGAUCCUCCCUGGCUCCACCA
rnacentral:tRNA from 37 species